UACGGAGGGAGCUAGCGUUGUUCGGAAUUACUGGGCGUAAAGCGUACGUAGGCGGUUAUUCAAGUCAGAGGUGAAAGCCCGGGGCUCAACCCCGGAACUGCCUUUGAAACUAGAUAGCUAGAAUCUUGGAGAGGUCAGUGGAAUUCCGAGUGUAGAGGUGAAAUUCGUAGAUAUUCGGAAGAACACCAGUGGCGAAGGCGACUGACUGGACAAGUAUUGACGCUGAGGUGCGAAAGCGUGGGGGAGCAAACAGG
rnacentral:rRNA from 1 species